AGAGGUAUUAGUAAAAUUUACAUGGCCUUGUCAAGGUUAAAUUAUAGGUGAAAACCCUAUAUACCUC
rnacentral:tRNA from 1 species